rnacentral:rRNA from 1 species
CCUACGGGAGGCAGCAGUGGGGAAUAUUGCACAAUGGGGGAAACCCUGAUGCAGCGACGCCGCGUGAGUGAAGAAGUAUUUCGGUACGUAAAGCUCUAUCAGCAGGGAAGAAAAUGACGGUACCUGACUCAGAAGCCCCGGCUAACUACGUGCCAGCAGCCGCGGUAAUACGUAGGGGGCAAGCGUUAUCCGGAUUUACUGGGUGUAAAGGGAGCGUAGACGGCAGCGCAAGUCUGAAGUGAAAUCCCAUGUCUUAACCAUGGAACUGCUUUGGAAACUGUGCAGCUGGAGUGUAGGAGAGGUAAGCGGAAUUCCUAGUGUAGCGGUGAAAUGCGUAGAUAUUAGGAGGAACACCAGUGGCGAAGGCGGCUUACUGGACUGUAACUGACGUUGAGGCUCGAAAGCGUGGGGAGCAAACAGGAUUAGAUACCCCUGUAGUC